rnacentral:rRNA from 1 species
UACGGGGGGGGCAAGCGUUGUUCGGAAUUACUGGGCGUAAAGGGCUCGUAGGUGGCCAACUAAGUCAGACGUGAAAUCCCUCGGCUUAACCGGGGAACUGCGUCUGAUACUGGAUGGCUUGAGUUCGGGAGAGGGAUGCGGAAUUCCAGGUGUAGCGGUGAAAUGCGUAGAUAUCUGGAGGAACACCGGUGGCGAAGGCGGCUUUCUGGUCCUUAACUGACGCUGAGGCGCGAAAGCAUGGGGAGCGAACGGG